rnacentral:rRNA from 1 species
UACGAAGGGGGCUAGCGUUGCUCGGAAUCACUGGGCGUAAAGCGCACGUAGGUGGAUUUUUAAGUCAGGGGUGAAAUCCUGGAGCUCAACUCCAGAACUGCCUUUGAUACUGGAAAUCUUCGAGUCCGGGAGAGGUGGGUGGAACUGCGAGUGUAGAGGUGAAAUUCGUAGAUAUUCGCAAGAACACCAGUGGCGAAGGCGGCUCACUGGCCCGGUACUGACACUGAGGUGCGAAAGCGUGGGGAGCAAACAGG